GAGCCAGUAGCUCAGUUGGAUAGAGCAUCGGACUGCUAAUCUGGGGGUCGGCGGUUCGAAUCCGCCCUGGCAUU
rnacentral:tRNA from 2 species